rnacentral:sRNA from 1 species
CACGUCAGCCAGGCGGGGCGGGGCAGAACUCUCGCUUUGGCUGCCCGAGUGAGUGUGAGUGUGAGAGCAAGAACAGCCCGCAGGUCCCGAGGCGCUUGCUGGGGACUCUGCCGCGGAAAGUUCCCAGUCCCCAGCCGCAGCUACCCUGGAAAGCAGGAAGAGAACCGGAAGUAAGGCAAACUAAAGCAAGCCAAAUCCCUCAAAAUAUGGGAAAUGUAUCAAGCAAAAUCUAUGAGUGUUUCUGAUGAGAGACACUGAGUGAAGAAAAGUGCUGUCUUGGGGAUCAAUGCUGGAUGGCCCUUCUCACUGCAGCUACAGACCUUGGAGACAGAGGAAGAUGCAGCAAGGGGUACUGAUGCCUCAUAAGGUUGAACAGUCUCCUUUUUUUGUUAUGUUCAGAUGCCUUCGUGAAACUGGUUUUACCUGAGAAAGAGGAGCUGUCAUUCAGCGAGUCGUAGGUGGCAGUGUGCAUGGCAGAGUCCCAUGUGUUACACCACGAGGACAUUCACAUUUUCCCACUUGGUGAGGUCCUUCUACCUAAUCCUCAUUCCUUGUGCACAGAAGAGGACUGGAAAAUUCUCCUCAUAGAACUGCAUACUGUUAUCUCUGAGAAGUGUUUUCCAAAAAGUGCUUUAUAAAAACAGCCAGGCAGUUCAGCAUUGUGGAUAAGCUUUUAUAACUUACUUACACCCUGAAGAUUUCAGAGUUCACAACUUUCAGGAUCUAAGGAAUGGUGACCAUCAUAAGCCUGUUUGUGCUUCUAAAAGGAACACUGACACCUAGGAGUCCUAACUUUGAGAGUUCCAAGGCAAACAACUUGUAGAGAUCCAGAUUUCAUCUUUCAACUGAAUUGUUUAUUAUAGAUCUGCCACCUUUUGCUUUUUCUAUCAACAGAAAUAAGUCAGUUAUCAUCGACAAGGUGAAGAACUACAAAGUUUGGCCUUUGGCGUUAAAAUGAAGAAAGCUGUGUUCAUGUAUACAUAUCUAGACUUCAUUAACUUGCUCCUAUUUCCAUUUUGUUACCUCCCUGAGACAAAACAAGUAUGAAACUUGUUUUCAAAAUUACAAUUUUGCAUUAUUGUUCAUUUGAAAUGACCUAGUUCAUAAUUACUAAAACAUUUGAGCUUUUGAAAGCAUUUAAAUUCCUCAUAAAAGCUAUAGAUGAAAUAAGAAAAAUGUCCUUAAGGUGAUUCCUCUUGAGGUCCAGCAUGAAUAAUUCCGGAAGGAUUUGCACUUGUACUGUGACCACUAAGAUCUGCUGCAGUUUCCCUGCUCUGAGGGGCUAAUGUAUCAGACACACUAAUUGGAGAAACCAGGAGAGAAGAUGACACCUAUACCUCCAUUAGUUUUUUUUCCUGUUUCUGUAAUUUUGAUGUUUUGUUAUUUUCUAUCUUUGUGCUCAAACACUGAUUGAUUAUUUAAACCAAAGACAAGCCAAAGAGUUGGGCAGUUUUCCAGGCAAUAUAUUUUCCAUUUCUUAUUUCUGAAAGCUGACUGUAGCUCAUGUUGUAUAAGAAAAGUCAUGUCUUGCCAUUCUGAAAUAUUUUCUGAUAUUUACCUUGAAUUGUCAAUAGCUUCGUUUACCCUAUAUGAACAUCACUGUACUGGCCUGAUUUUAAAUAGAAAAUGCAAUCCAAUCUUUAAUUUAAUGAUCAUUAUGUCGACUGUACUAAAUAAAUACAAAUUACAGAAAUCAAGAUUAUUGUUUUCUGCUUGAAAUGUUAAUGACUAAUUCUGACUGUUUUGCAUGGCUUGAUUACUAAGUGUUUGGUGUAAAUAUACAUUCACAUAUAUUUCUGACUUUUAGAGUAAAAAUGAACCAUAGACAAUGUGGAAAAUUCUGUUAACCAGGAUAUUUACAAUAAAGUGCCAUGACCUCAUGAAUGGUAUUUUUGACAAGGUUAUCUUCUCAUGAGUUGUUCAUUCUUUUACUGCUUCAUUAGUCUUAGAGGUUCUGAAACUUGGGAAAAGAUAAACCUAAUUCACAUUACUUAUAAACGAUGAGGUUAACGUACGUAAAAAGAGACACAGAAACAGUUCAGUACCGUGAACUCACACAGAAAAUUAUUCACUGCAUGCUGAAAUCUGCAGUUGAUUAAAGCAAAAGGAGAACUGGCAUGUCUUAGAGAUUAAAACCCUUAACACUUUAUGUCCCUAAUACAGUGGAAGCAGACGAACCCUAGCAGCUGUGUUAGUUCACUUUUCUAAAUUAACAAAACAAUGCCAAGAUGCCAAUAGUUUAGAAAGAUGAUCAGAACAAGGCAAUAAGAUUUGCAAAAGAUAUCAUUUGACAGAGGUAAUUCACAGAAUGCAAGCCUGGUGCUUUGAAGCACUACAGUCACACCAAUCCUUGACUCUUAUUGGCUUAAAAUCCAAAUAAUCUUACAUUUAAAUGGAGCUUAGGAAAUCCUGCAGAAGAGAGGAAAGAAGGAUAGAAGG